rnacentral:misc_RNA from 1 species
ACAAAAAAAAAAAAAAAUCAUCCAAAAUAAUACCACCGGUUAUAGCCGGUCACAUUUCCUUCGAGAAAAUCCCCCGCGUCUCAUCCAACCUUCCUUCCUUUCUCUCGCCGGCCUUUUCUUCACCUCCAUUUCUAUUUGGAACCAUAGUAUAAUAAAAAAGAAAAAAAGGAGAAGAAAGGAACGUGAACGGAUCCCUUCUUCCUUCCUGUAAUCAUAUUGUUUGAAAAACCGAAGAAAAUAGUUUUUUUUUUUUUAUUUAGGACUAUUGAAAAUAUUAUAAUGUGAUGAAAUUCUGCUAUAAAAUUAUUAUUUAUUAAAAAUUUUCAAUAGG